AGAGCUUGAUCAUGGCUCAGAUUGAACGCUGGCGGCAUGCUUUACACAUGCAAGUCGAACGGCAGCACAGGGAGCUUGCUCCCGGGUGGCGAGUGGCGCACGGGUGAGUAAUACAUCGGAACGUGUCCUGUUGUGGGGGAUAACUGCUCGAAAGGGUGGCUAAUACCGCAUGAGACCUGAGGGUGAAAGCGGGGGAUCGCAAGACCUCGCGCAAUUGGAGCGGCCGAUGCCCGAUUAGCUAGUUGGUGAGGUAAAGGCUCACCAAGGCGACGAUCGGUAGCUGGUCUGAGAGGACGACCAGCCANACUGGGACCUGAGACACGGCCCAGACUCCUACGGGAGCA
rnacentral:rRNA from 1 species